UCUUUGCUUUGAAGGGAGUUGUGCGGACUCUCCUGAUUGGCUGAAACUGCUCAGAAGGUUUUCAGUCAAACUGUCGAAAGGUCUGAGUUCGACCACGUAUGUUUGACCUUGUGCUGAUAGUAAAUGUUGUGAUUGCUAAUAUCCGAGAUAAAUGUUGCUAUGAAAGAGACUUUGUAGUCACUUAGAAGAUUUAGAAAGAAAUAUUUUCAUGAUUGUGUUCACCAAGAUGUGUUUGCAAGAAAUAUUUCCAUGAGGCAUCGUUGUUGCUUUUCUGAUGACUGUGCAGAGGAAAUUUGUCAUAUAAUACAACGGUGUGUUUAUACAAUUCCGCUGAAGUUAUUGCAUUCCAUUACGUCUUAUUUUGCUUGCUGGCUUAUGCAGGAUGAAGCUGGAAGGAGAGAUCGGGCUAUGAGGACCAACCUUGAGGAGUUCAUGUGAUUUACCGUUUCUUGGACUCAGAAGAUGUAUGUGCCGAAAGAGUAUUCUGCUUCCAUCAACAACUCAUGAUUCCCCCAGCUAUGGAGUGUUUGAUAUAUUGCUGCAGGAUUCAGUGUAAGGUUUUCCGGACAUUCGCUCUGAAUGGUCGCUGAAGAUUACAGCGACUGAGCCUUGGCAGCGACUUCGGCAAAAUGUGUUGAAAGGUACAGGGAAUAAAGAGGAUUGACUACUGCUUUAGUUUCCUCAAUUAAGUAUUCACUUACCAACAUAGGUUUAUAACUCGAGUCUGUACUUUACAAACCUACUGCUCAGUUUCUCUAACCUGGAUAUAAUCGAGCAGUAAUGGGAUACAAGGGAUACCUUGGAAAUCUUUUUGCCACGAAAAAUGUCCCGCUACCUCUUCACGUCAUCUCCAUAUUUGUCAUCAUCGUCUCGACCAAGAGCCAAACACUCAUAGAAGAUUGCAUUAUUAAGUUCCCGUCGUUGGACAAACAUCGUUGCAGAAGAAGAUAACAUCAUCAAAACGAGCGUAGUUCCUGGAAGUACUUAAAGCCUGCUAUAAUUUGUUACGAUAAUCAAGCACAGUAUAUCUUUAGUAAUAGUUAUCAGUUAUACAGAUAAAGAUCUUUGGCCCUUGGAAUUGUUGCAAAAUGAAGCAAUGAAGGUAAUAUUAGGUUGCCCUAGAACUGCAAGGAUUGAAAUAAUGCGAAUGGAGCUGGAUUUGCCAAGUGUCACUCAAAGAAUAGACUGAUUAGACAAAAUGAUAGGCAUCUUAAAACUAUUGUAAAUAGAUAUGUGACAUGCGUUCCAGGAUUCUUCAGACUGAAUGAAUAUUCACGAAGGCUUUGUAAAAUAUCGAUUGACUAUAACGUUUUUGAUUUCUGUAUCUUUGCCUAAUUCACGCCCAAUAAAACCUUGGAUUGCUGAGAAAGUAGAUAUAAGUAAUGAACAACUUGAUUUGAGAAAAAGACAACAAUCCUCACGAACUUUAGACAGCUGCUUUUGGAGAAUAUAUCUCAGUACCCUAGGGAUAUGGUGAUUCAUGCGUAUUGUGAUGGUUCUAUCACUGGAUGUCGAGCUGGUCUUGGUGUUGUAAUUAGAGAAUAUUUUGAAUUUGAUAUUAGCACAGAGGAGAGAAUAUCUAAAUGUAUUGGUGAUCACAGCUCAUCUACCACUGCUGAGCUGUUUGCUAUUUAUGAGUGUUUGAAAUUUGGAAUAAAUAAGGAAAAAUCUAUAAUAGAUUUUGUUGACAGUCAGUGCUCUUUUGGCUUUAAAUGCCAAAGUACCUUCUGAUGAUGGGAUAGUUACCAAAUGCAAAGAUUACGUUUCUGUUAUAAAAGCGUCAGGCUACAGUGUAAAAUUCGUCUGGAUACCCUCACAUCGUGGUGAAUAUUUUAAUGAUGUUGCUGAUGAAUUAACAAAAAAAGGAUGUAAUAAAGAAUCUAUAGAAUACGCCACUUCAGUUAGUAUGAGGAAAAUAAAGUCUCAUGUGUCAAGAGUAAAGGCCUGUCCACACGACCGGACCUGAUCGGCGGACCUUCCCUCUAACGGACACACUUGACAGGCAAACCGUCAAAUGGCCCGAUGGGUCUUGUAGCAAAAUCACCAUGGUGGUGCCCGAUGGCUUGAGCUUCGACCCUGGCAGACUUACGUUAACCAUAUACAUUUCUUUUACUGAGCCAUUCUUUGCACCAUAUUCUCUUGUUUUUCUUCUUUUUCAUCGCACACAAAGCAAUUACUAUGCUACACAAUAUCUUCUUAUUUGCAGUAUGCACCAUUUUUGUACAUGGAACUUACCCAGCAGAUAUAUACUUAGCUAUAGACUCCGUCGUCCCCGACAGAAAUUCGAAUUUCGCGGCGCACGCUGCAGGUAGGUCAGGUGAUCUACCGCCCCUGCCGCUGGGUGGCAGGAAUAGGAACGAUUACCGUUCUAGAACCAGAUUUUCUCUGUCGCGGUAGUGUCAACAUACGUUGUUGCUACCUCCUGACUUGAUUUUCGUUUUUUCAUCGCCAUCGACCUUCUGGGCUGUCUUUUGCAGGGAAGUACUGGGUCUUUGGUUUGGCAUACGCUUUUUUAACUUUUUAAUGAAUUUGGCUUCGAAAUUUCGAAGAAUAUAUUACGUGAAACUACCGAAUUUUUCGGUAGACACUUAUAUUUUGCAAUAAGGGAAAUAUUGAUUUUUUUUUUUUUUCACUAAUACGUGUAUAAGUGUUAGAACUUGAUGAAGGAAAUAUAAGAUCUAACUUCCUACUUUAGGAAGUCAGAAAGCAUAUAACUAGAUACGCCUUCCUUUAGAAGCUUUAAGAGCUCUCGUACUAACGAGCAGUUAGAGUAUUGACAAUUCUAGUAGUUGUUGCAUCCUCAUCACCUUCUUACUCCACAGAAUCUACAAAUUCAUAUGUGCAAAUUUGAAGAUAAAUGGAUGGAGCUCAAAAGGCGAGCUCUAAAAAGGUAAGAAGUGAAUAUAGUGUUCCCAGUGCAGUGGAGGGUGCGUCUGAUCGGCUCCGUAGCGCUUCCAGGCCUAGACCUCUUCCAAACUCCCAGACCCAGUGGAGGAGGAAAGUCGACAGCCGCAGGAAGGUUAGGGAGAACCCCCACCGGUCAGGCGUCCCCUCGGCAGGUUCUGUAGAACGUCCCAGACUGCCAAGGAUAGCCAUUGAUAAGGCAUCCUUAAAAAAGUGCGUCUCUUCAUCUUACAUCCGAAAAGACGAAGAAUGUAUGUUUGGAGUGAUCUAGCGCGUUCUCU